AUGGGUCAUAUGAUGAUCGUAAGCAUAGUUCAACUGAUAAUCUUUGUGAUUAAGAAACUUUUGUCUUUCGCUCCUAUCUGAUGAUCCAU
rnacentral:snoRNA from 1 species